CAACAUGACUCAGCGCCUGCGCGGGUGAGUCUGCCUUGGUCAGGUUUCUUGUUUACAAAGUUGCUUUUUUCUCUGUUUCCGUGCUGUGCUCCCUGGAAGGAAGUCUCCAUGUGCAGCCCACACUGAGGAAGCCUGGGGCAACAGCAAGACGGCAGCAGCCAUGGCGAGGCAGAAGAGUCAACGCCAGCCCAGGAAGCAUCAGGAAGUCCACAUCAGGGGAGUGAGAUGGACAGAAAGAGAGGGACUCAGCUGGUGCAACCCUUCCCCUUUCCUCUUUCUCCUUGCUUUGAACAUGGAUCUAAUGGCAGGAGCUAAGGCAGCCAUCUUGUGACCAUGAGGAAAGAGACUGACAGCAGUUUCAGCCGGGCAUGCCUCAGCCAUUGAACAGCACCUUAGAUUUCUCACGUGAGAAAAAUAAAUUCCUGUUUGUUUAAAUCACUGAAGUAGUUUUUUG
rnacentral:lncRNA from 10 species